UACGUAGGGGGCUAGCGUUGUCCGGAUUUAUUGGGCGUAAAGAGCGUGUAGGCGGCCAAGUAGGUCUGGUGUGAAAACUCGAGGCUUAACCUCGAGAUGUCAUCGGAAACCAUUUGGCUAGAGUCCGGAAGAGGAAAGUGGAAUUCCUGGUGUAGCGGUGAAAUGCGCAGAUAUCAGGAAGAACACCAAUGGCGAAAGCAGCUUUCUGGGACGGUAUGACGCUGAGACGCGAAAGCGUGGGGAGCGAACAGG
rnacentral:rRNA from 1 species